rnacentral:rRNA from 1 species
UGGGGAAUAUUGCACAAUGGGCGCAAGCCUGAUGCAGCCAUGCCGCGUGUGUGAAGAAGGCCUUCGGGUUGUAAAGCACUUUCAGCGGGGAGGAAGGCGAUAAGGUUAAUAACCUUGUCGAUUGACGUUACCCGCAGAAGAAGCACCGGCUAACUCCGUGCCAGCAGCCGCGGUAAUACGGCGGGUGCAAGCGUUAAUCGGAAUUACUGGGCGUAAAGCGCACGCAGGCGGUCUGUCAAGUCGGAUGUGAAAUCCCCGGGCUCAACCUGGGAACUGCAUUCGAAACUGGCAGGCUAGAGUCUUGUAGAGGGGGGUAGAAUUCCAGGUGUAGCGGUGAAAUGCGUAGAGAUCUGGAGGAAUACCGGUGGCGAAGGCGGCCCCCUGGACAAAGACUGACGCUCAGGUGCGAAAGCGUGGGGAGCAAACAGG